GUUCUUUAUAACUGAGUCUGCUCAAGUCUCAUGUGUAUUGAAGCCUCAUCAGGACACAAAAGAGACCCUGAGUGUUCAGAGACCAAUCCAGAGGAACACAAGCUAAAAGAAGCUCAUCACCAGAAGAUUGGUCAACAGGGGAUAAUUUUCAUAAACACAUGAAGACUUUCUGCUAAAAUUGUUGGGAUAUUCAUUGGAAGAGAGGAAGAAAAUCCAAAGGAAAAGGAGGAGGAGGAAAAGGAAGGGACCCUGAAUGGAAUUUUUUUUUCCUCCAAACAUAUGUAUCUUUACUUUCUUGAUAUUCUAAAACCAAAUUUCAACACUGACAAAAUUUGAAAUAUUUUACUAACCACAGUUAUUCAGGAAGUUCAAGGCUUUAAUUCUAGCAAGACUAGAUUCUUAUGAAAAAAUAUAUGGCUUUACAAAAGUACAAUGUGGCUAAAAACUGGUGAAAACAAAUAAAAGCAAUCAUAAAGCUAUAUACUUAAUGUUU
rnacentral:lncRNA from 1 species